CGCGUAGGCGGACAUUUAAGUCGGGGGUGAAAGCCCGGGGCUCAACCUCGGAAUUGCCUUCGAUACUGGCUGUCUUGAGUGUGAGAGAGGUGUGUGGAACUCCGAGUGUAGAGGUGAAAUUCGUAGAUAUUCGGAAGAACACCAGUGGCGAAGGCGACACACUGGCUCACUACUGACGCUGAGGCGCGAAAGCGUGGGGAGCAAACAG
rnacentral:rRNA from 1 species